AAAAAAAUCUCUCUUUCUCUCUCUAUUUGCAUAUUUGUCUGAUCCGGACCGUAGUACUUUUGCAAGUACUAUGGAGAACGGAGGAGGAGGAGGAGAACAACAAAACUGUUUAUGCAAAGGUCAUGCUGUGAUUCUAUUUGGAACACUCAUUUGAGCAAGAAAUUGGAGUUCACUGCUAUUGUCGAGGGACCACUGUACUAAUGUGUUAGAGAAGCCUCGACCUCGGACCUUCACGUGGUUCAGAGGUCGGGAUUAGUGUCGGACCGUCGCUAGCUAGCAGUUAGAGUAGUACUAUACAUGCCAACUACAAAAUGAUUCAGGAAUUUAUUUUUGGAGGAUUCGAUAUAAAAGUAUGCUAUUUAAAGAAUUGAUUACAGUUAACAAUGUUUCAACAAUAUAUGUAUCUUGUUCCAUUCAAAAAAAAUAUAUGUAUCUUGUGCUUAAAAAUUGUUGUUUGAGUGAAGAAUCAAAUUUCUAAUAUUUGAUUUAGUUGUACUAGAAAGAGGAUUUGAAAUAGCACCUGCUUACUACAACAUAGAUUUUAUUA